UCCCAGGUGCCUCAGACGGUAAAGGAGCUGACUGCAAUGCAGGAGACCCAAGUUCAAUCCCUGGGUUGGGAA
rnacentral:tRNA from 1 species